ACGCUCUGCAAGGACACAGAGAGGGAGAUCAGGAAGUUAUUGAAGUUACACAAUGAAGACACUGAAGUUUGAGCUUUAAAAACAAAAAAGAGAGAAAAAACAAGAUUAUAGAUGAUUAUAUAACCCUUGCUGAGAAUUUGUGUAAACCAAAGCCUCACUGCAAAUUAAGCUUUACUGAGUGGAGAAAGGGAUGCCCCCAUCUCGGCAGAGAGAUGGACAUAAGAAAAGUUUAAGACUGACGAGUUGAUCUGAAUUUCGGAAUAAAUCUGAAUAUUUGUGAAAAUAAAAAGAAAAAUAUAUUAAAAAAUUACAGAUGCCAACACUGGAUUUUUUUUUUUUUUUUUUUAAAUCUAGCAAAUACAAGCUGACUGGCGAAGCUAUCACGGGACAGAAACAAUCUGUGAAACAAUCAAGACGGUUAAUCAAACGCUUUCACAACUAAACAAAUGAAGUGGUAGUCUUGGUACGUCAAUCUGCGAAAAUUUGAUCACAUGAGAGAUAAAAACAAACCAAGUAAAAAGUGCUUCAAAAAUAUUCCACUGAGCUGAAAAGACGGUUUAUGUGGCGUUUCAUAGAUCAGCAGUGUUUUAUUUCAUCAUUAAGCCAGUUCAUUACUCUUAUUUCACUGAUUUCUCUGAGGGAGAAGUAUUUGGUGUUAUUUAAUCCCCACGAGUAACGCAGCCUAAUCUCUGAGUGCAGACUACGUGCCGUGCUCAGCGGUAGCUACUUAACUAAUUAAUUAGCUCCAUUAUUAGCUUAGUGAGGUGAAAUGACCUGCUUUUGUCUCCGCUGAUCAAUGCCUGACUGAAACACGUCUGGAGCUGGAGCCUCUGGCCCAUGGGAAAGGACAGCUACAACUAGUCGAAGCCAAUUGCGACAGUCCGUCAGAAUUUUUAUGAUCAAGUGACCAAUGCAACUAGAUGAGAAAGUGAAGCUUUUAUUGACAGAUUCUUCUCCUACUUUCUCUGGAAACCGUAAACAUUUUAUGUUAACAUUAUAUCAUAAAAACCAAUGCUGAAACUACUCUGUAGCAAUAUAUGGUUUUAAAAGGGAACUGAUGCCUCUAAAUGGCGUCAUAAUAAUGCAAUAUAUUCAUAUUUAUUUACCAGAAUUCUUUUGAUGCAUUUAUUUUCUGCUUACAUAACUACACAAAUCCCCCAAAGGGCUUAUUGCAGCUAUGAAUGUCCUCAAACUGAAGCACAUCAAAAGAGCAAUAAAAUUACCAUUAAAAUCAAUUAUUCAAUUCCAACCCUCUGUUAACUCAGACAAGCAGCAGCAUUCAUCCAGACUUAAAAACACAGAUAGCUGCCAGUUUAAACCACACAGGCAAUAGCAUGUCAUAAUUCUGUGCAUGCCAUAACCUACUUCUAUCACACCCAAAGGGAUAGAAGAACCUUAAUAAAAAGGCAGUGAAUCUUCCAUGUUAUUAUCCGGGACAGCCACUGGGGUGAGGAUAUCCAUUUUGGCGUCUUACUUAUUUAACAGCAUGUUAUCCCUCUGGCUUUUACAACACCACAAGCAGAAAAACUUAGAAACACAUUCCUUACUUUGUUAUCGGAACAAGAAAACUCUUUAAUUUUUAGAAGAAAUAUCAUCGCGCUUGUUCUUUACGACAAUCAUUUAGAGACACACGACCUAAAGCUGAUAAAAUUUUACAGUUACUACAUGUUUAGAAAUGAAGGUGUGUAAGUUUUUGGGAAAUCUACAAUAAAAAAAAAAGCAUUCUUAAAUUGCAACUUAUAAAGAGAAAAACAUUUAAAAACAUAUUCAAGCUGCUGAGUUGGAAUAUUUACUGCCUUUUUAACUAAAAACAUAUUUUACUUUUAAAACAAGUAUUUUUACACUUGUACCUGCAUCAGUACUAUUUCACCCCAUAACCCUAAUAAACAUUUAGAAGACAUGGUAGAGUUGAACUGCAGUUUAAGAAAUUGGCCACAAAAACUCAGAUCUUUUAACAACAAGUCGGAUCUCUCUCUUCUCAACCCAGCGGAUGUGCUGUCCAGGAUUUCCAAAAUGGUCUAAAAAUAGUUUUCAGCUUUAGCCCUGAGAAGGCAGCUGCAUGUCUGGUUUUUGUUUAUAUGUGUUAUUUGUCUUUGGCUGGCAGAGCUAAGACUUGAAGCUCUGACUUCAGAGAUGGAAUGUGUUUACUGGGAACAGUUUUCUGCAGGGAUUCUGAACUCAUGCUUAUAAACCCAUUAGAGUCAAUAUAAUGUCCAUUUAAAUUCAGUUCUGCCCAAAGGCCAGCAGAUUACAACCUACUGUUGUUGUUUUUUUUUUUUACUAUUUCUGUUAUUAAUCUUGUCCCUGUCAAACAUUUUAAAAGUUGUAAUGCUGAUUCUGUUGAGCUUCAGGAAAUUUAGUAAAUUUACCACCAGAAAUUGUGACAUUUGUUUUCCCCGGCUUUUACAUGGACUGAAAAACGGAAAUAAUGAACUUUCAGAUCACAACAGUUAUCUUUUUCAUUCAUUAUCCCAGUUUUCAUAAAUAAAAAAUUAUUACACAUACACACACCCACACGGUUCCAGUCAUUUCUUUUAAAUCUGUGUUUAUAUUCAUGUUUUACAUUGUAUAAUUACUUUUUAAAACUAAGGUUAAUGAUCAUCUCAGUUAAGAGAAGACAUAUUUGAGACCAGCCUGGAAUGCUUUCCCUAUAAAUAGAUUAAAAAGUUAUUUUCAGAGGUUGUCGUGUCACUCAACCCAAAUAAUCUAAAUCUAAAUCUGUGGCAGACUCUCCUGCUUCGUUUCCCUCCAGCUUCUGCUGAAGGUUUCUUCCUGUUAAAGAGGAGUUUUCCUUUCUGAUGUUCGCUGUGAGGAACUGCUGCAAAGUCAGCGACACAAUGCAAGAGACACCCCACCACAUGCUCACCCAGGAGGAGUGAAUGAUGCAAAUUCAGUGGCUCGAUGCAACCAGCACGAUUUCAUUAGACAAAAAAGUUUUAACCAAUUUAAAUAAAUUACACUUGACUGCAUUGUUAAAUAACAAGGAGUGAAUAUUGGAAUACAACUUAAGUUGUAUCUGAAUCUUUAUAUAAGUUUGGAUUUAACUGACAGUGUGUAUAUAAAUUGUAUGUUUUUUUGUGUGCAAGUGUCUUUAGAGGGCAUUCCUUGUGAAUCAGUGCAAUAUCUAUCAUUUAUUUCAAUUCACAAACUAAAAUCUGCAAAGGCAUGGCAACCUGUCCAAGAUGUGUACCUCGCCUCUCGCCCAAUGGCUGCUAGAGAUGAGCUCCAGCCCCCCUGGCAACGCUGCAGGGAUAAGUGUGUUUAGAUAAUGGAUGUAUGGAAACUAAAAUUUGUGUUUAAACAAAGCAGCAUACAACUGUAACAAUGCAGGCCUUUGUCAAUGUCAUUUCAGAAAUCAAUUCAUCGGUGCAAACCUCCUGCUCUGUCUCAUCUUUAAAAAAAAUAAAACAAAACCAGAACAGCUGAGUCUCAUUAGUUCUUUUUGUUAGACAUGAAUCAUCUGCUUACAAAAUUCAUAAAAUACAACUUUAUGUAAGAAUAUACAUUGCCUGUCAGCUGUUCUUCCAUCUUCAUGAAAUCUUCCUUCCUUCCUUCCUUUCUGCCAGUGUGCACAAACUGUCUGAUUACCAUCUUUUCAUCGUUUUCUUUUAUAGACUCUUCAUCUUUGUCUCAAAUGUUGCCCAACUGCUCCAACAGGGAAACAGACAAUGAAAUACAGAGCUGACUCUAAAGAGUCAGCUCUGACCAAUGAGGCUCCUGAUAACCAUUUAUUUUAAACAUCUUUUGUGUAGUGUUUUAU